UACGAAGGGGGCUAGCGUUGUUCGGAAUUACUGGGCGUAAAGGGCGCGUAGGCGGUGUGUCAAGUCAGGCGUGAAAGCCCCGGGCUCAACCUGGGAACCGCGCUUGAGACUGGCACGCUCGAGUUCGGGAGAGGAUGGUGGAAUUCCCAGUGUAGAGGUGAAAUUCGUAGAUAUUGGGAGGAACACCGGUGGCGAAGGCGCCAUCUGGACGGAUACUGACGCUGAGACGCGAAAGCGUGGGUAGCAAACAGG
rnacentral:rRNA from 1 species